rnacentral:lncRNA from 1 species
ACGCAGACUUUGAUUCCCAGCUUGAUCAGUAACUUCAAUUUUGGUGAGUGUCCCUGCCUGUUCUAUGUUUACCUGCUUAAAGUACCUUCUUGACUUGAUGUGUGAUAAGUUGAAAAAUUGGUUUCUGAUCCAUCGAAGUGAGCUGUGUGUACUUUAUCGCACUAGCUGUUCGAGUGGUGAUUUGUGCAAAAACAUUUUUCUCCUGAAACCAUAAAUCUAAAUGUAGUUGCGUCGUUGGGUGAAUCCCUCGACUUCUGUAUCCAACUACCAUAAAUCUAAAUGUAAUUGCGUCGUUGGGUGAAUCCCUCGACUUCUGUAUCCAACUACCAUAAAUCUAAAAUGUAGUUGCGUCGUUGGGUGAAUCCCUCGACUUCUGUAUCCAACUACCAUAAAUCUAAAAUGUAGUUGCGUCGUUGGGUGAAUCCCACGACUUCUGUAUCCAACUACCAGGACGGGUAUAUCUCGAGUAUACUACGUCCUUAGUCGGUGAGCGGGCCCGGGACAGGGGUAUGAAUGGUGACGGGUUAGGUAUCAAAAUGAGACGCUCUACAUGGAUUAUAAGUAGUGAGAGUUGACGGAGUGUCAACUACGAUAAAUGGUGAUCAAGCGAGGAAAAUGGCUCCUGAGAGCCCACGUAUCCUACCUUGUGCUGUUAUACGCUUUCCUAACUAUUUAAAUUUGAUGAGUUAUUAUUCGCUGUUUGUUAUUAUGUGAUUGCAUGUUUUGGGGCACCACUGAGCUUUAGCUCACCCCACGUUUAUUGUUUUCCUUAACAGGUUCUGGAAACUGAAAGCUGGAUGCUUACUUGUGUUUUUCUUUUGCACUGUAUUUGAAUACUAUAACUUAUUCUGUGGGCUGUAAUGUGUUAUUUGGGAUAAUGUAUUUUCCUUUUUGGAUUGCCACCUGAAGCUGGAAAAUGUGUAAACCCUAAUUCGAUUACUUGGCUUGUAAGCUUGUAUUAUGGAUUUAUGUAUUUAUCUAUCGGGUUGUGUACGACUUAUACUUCGUUACGUAGCUCGUAGGUCGUUUAAGGGUCUUGAC